CGCGAUUCACGUUCGUCCUUAUCUUGCGAAGUCACACGCUACUCACUCUGCCUUUUUCUCGCUUUGCGCGCAAUUUCUAGCGAGCCAACCAGCCGCGGGCCAGCAGCCGAACCAGUGCGAAAGCCGGUAACCGGCACAACGCGCCAUACCAAAGCGAUCAGCCGAUUGGCUGGCCGCCCGCGACUCGACCAAUCGCAAUGCGUCUUCGGUCGUCAGGUGGUGCCGCGUUCUCGCAGACACGAACGCCUGCUACAUCGGAAAAAGUUGGUUCCUGGCAGUUUUGACGACAUUACGGAUUUUAAGGAUAAAAAGUUUAUAUCUAUUAUAUUGUCUCUUGUGACUAAAUCAAUUGAUCUUUCUUAUUGAGGUCUGCACGUAAAAAUUCCAAACAAGAUGUGUAGGUCAAUAAAAAGCAAAGUGGCAGAGACAUGAAAUAACAGUUCUUAGAAGAAAAUUUUCCUGAAACCGUAAAUCAUCUACGUUUAGCUCCAACUCAAGCAAGUGCGCAUAAAUGGACCGUCAUACAUCGAAUUUUCCAUAUACAUACAUACUGUACAACACAUUUCAAACUAUGAAAAUACAUUAUGGCUGCCAACCAUUGUCAGUUCAUGAAAAUCAUCUGUGGAGUUUCUAUCGAAUUGUUGUUCUGCUAAAUGGACGCAUUUACACCUCUUCGAACACAAUAUGUACGAAGAUUGCUCGAAAUUAUCGCCGGUGUAGAUAUAUCAACCUAACCCAACGAUCUUAAAGAACGACGUCUGCUACAAGUGCUUCGUGCAGUCAUACAAGCCGUACAACUUCGAUUUUUAAACCUGGUAUUUUAAGUUAUACGUAGUAUUUUACAUUCUAAAGCACAGGUAAUGAAGAAUUCAUAAUUUGUACUAAAUAUUAGCAUGGGAUUCUUGCACGAUAAUGUAACAAUUAAUAAUAUUAAUAAGUCUACACACUAUGAGUCGUAGACAUAGAGGUCAGAAAAAUCAACAAAAAAAGAUAUAUCAUAUUUCUUUUCGUUUAUUAAUUUUAUGGUUUAUUUAUUGAUACCAGGUAUCUGUUGACGUGUAAAAAUGUCAUUAACAGCAAUAGUUUAAUUGUGCAAGACGACCCUGGAAAAAAACUUUGCUACAUUCUCAUUAACCAAAAAUCAACUAACAAUACCAACCCACGAAACACAAAUUACAGAGACGAGUCAUCUCGAGAGCCAUUAUUCGUAAUGUCACGGUGCAAAGCAAAGGAGCAAGAUGGGACGGGACGGCAGCGACAUGGAGAAAAGCCAGCCGAGGACGAGGAUCACGCGCGUUGAGUACGUGCCUUGCAUCCGGAGGCGCGUUGCGUUCCGUUCGCCAUUGCCUGAUUAACUCGACGUCAUUUAUCAGAUUAAAUGGAUAAUGCUGGUUAGCGUCUGACGUAACGCCGCACUCCCAAGAACCGCCGUUUCUCAAAGAUUUUUUAUUAUCUUACUGGUCUGCCUAUGGACACACCAACGUUACGCAAUCGAACAAGCCUCUGAAAUUGGAUGCGAACAAUCGGCCGUGUUAACGAGUUCAUUGUGUUUCUGUCCAAAACGCGAUACUAGCCGGGUGGCCCUGCUGUUAUGUAACCCAGCUAUAGCUAUCUAUCGAGUUUAAUAAACGAAGGAAAAAAAUGAAAUUUAGGAUAAAGAUGUAUGGAAAUUAUUUCUGGUGAGAAUAAUGACUUUGUAUGUGAAAUGUUUAGUUAUUUAGUAAAUUAGUAAUGACCUCAUUGCCAGUGUAAAUAAAUGAAAUGUAAAUUUGUUUCAUUCUCUAAAUAUUACAACUAGUACUUGUGGAGAUUUUGUAUAUUUCUGCAUUUUAUAUGUAUCCUGUACAUUUAAGUAGAGUAAUUAGUAAUUACAUUUCAGUAACUCGAAUACAUUUUUAUGAAGAUUUGAAGAUGCCGUAACAUGUGAAGUAGUAAUUCAUUUUUUAUUAUGAAUCAGUAAUAAAUUGUCAACUGUAACUUAAAUUUAUUUUUAUGGAGAUUGCAGAAAUUGUAUCGCAAAGUAAUAAAUUCCGUUUUUUACUAGGGAUUUCUUAGAAACACGCUAUAAAAUUUUAUGACACCAUCGUCAUUGUAGAUAUUGAACACUUGUAAUUGUUUGCACAUCAGGCAAAAUUGAGUAUAAUACAGUGCUAAAGCGAAGCAUGAUAAACUCUCACAUGGCAUAUCCAAAAGGUCGGCUUCAACGACGAAAUCACAGUCAUCUCGCUGCGAACGCACAGUUUAACCGGUAAUUAGAGUUUACGGCAGCCACGUUGAUUAGGUCGUUAAAGAAACUAUUACGCCGACUAAAUACAGUCUAGGCACUCCCACUAGUCUCCGCUGAAUUGCAAUUUGAUGCAGUAGUUAAAAAAUAAAAAAAUGAAGAACUGGAGGAAUAUGAAUCUUUUAUUCAUAAAAAGCAAACUAAGAUCUUCAAAUGUUAUUAAAUUUUCUACAAUUCCAAUUAACGAAUGAAGGAAAUUAAAUGUUUACAGAAUUAUAAAUUCUUUGUAAAAAUUUAAUAUCCUUAAUAUACUUGAAGAAGACUCUACAUAGCGAUUGUCAACAAUGUUCAACUUAAUAAUAACUUUAAAAUGAAAUUCUUCAUGCAAACAGUUUAACAAGACAAUGGUUUAGACGCUUGAGUACACAUUGCAUUUGUAUAACGAGUUUAUUCUCAAAGACUCUUUAUUUCACCAAGGUUAUAAAAUUACACUGCGCAGCUUUUGACAACUACCGCAUCUCUACCUCUUUGUGAACUUUUAAUGAUCUUUUCAAACAUGACAUAUUCACGCUACUGAAAUCCUAAGAUAGACAACGGCGAGUUCUUGCAAUUAAGAGAAACGCGAGAAUUAUAUGAUGUAUCUUUUUUUGAUUAUCUUUCAUUUUCUUUUCUUUUGGUACAAAUUUUAUAUUUUAGUCCAGCUAUAUUUUAUAUUUAGUACGUUAUAGUUCUACUAUUAAUGGAAAUUUCGGUCAAAGCAAUCAAUCUUUCACACAACAAGAAUGACAACGGUUUCUGAUCAACCUAAUUGCAAUUAAAACAGCAAAGACGUAUCUUUUCUGGGAAAUUUUGCAUCGUUUCGUAUGAAAGAUGAGACAAUCGAGAAACAUAUACCUAUAUUACACGAAUGGUACGAGUUUCGUCUGUUAAAAAUAAAAAUGUGGCACAUAUGCACGAUUCUUGGACACAAAGAGGAAAUUAUUAGGUUUGUCAACGAUCUGCUUGAGUUGUCCGAGUAAAUUGCUCGAAUUACCUCAGCACCCGGCAAUGGAAGGUGACCUACUGUCAGAAACGAUCUCUCCAAAGGAUUGUGCAACUUGGAACUUUAGAAUUUUUAUUCUUCCGCCAUUCGCUUCUCUUUUGAAGGGACCCAAUUACCAAGGCGAUAUAGGCGAUCUUGCAUUAGGAAUUCGCCGUCCUUUAAGAAGAUUGAAAAUCGUUCUUGAUAACAGCUUAAUAGUCAGCUCACAGCUCGUUUUGACCCUGUGAUCGAGAUAAUGAAGCGAUUUAACAUGGAAAUCUGCGAAACGGUCAACCUAAUUUCAACAGAGUAGAAUGUAUUAUUAACCUGAAACGCAUUCGCUUGUGUUUCGUCAUAUUUUUUCUCGUAGGAAUGACAUUAUUUGCAGGAAUAAUAGUUUUCGAGGAAGUAUAAAUCACAUUUUGUACCUUCUGUGGACGAGCAAUUUUAAAACUCACUUUGCUGUCAACCAAUUUUAUUGUAUUAUUAAAUAUGUAUUAUCGUAUUACGUAUUA